GUGCUCGCUUUGGCAGCACGUAUACUAAAAUUGGAACGAUACAGAGAUGAUUAGCAUGGCCCCUGCGAUUUAAAAAAAGAAAAAAAGAAAUACUGAAGCAAGUCUAU
ensembl:snRNA U6 U6 spliceosomal RNA